AGAACCAAAAUAAGUGCGCGCCAUUUUGAAAACAAUAAACAUCAUAUAAAGAGAGACUGUGUGUACCAAAAUAUCCCGCCUUUUUAAUAAACAUAUGUGAGAGUCAACUGAUUGUAUAAAUACAACCAGCAUCAGUGUUCCAAGAAAAAGCCACCGCCUAAAAUACCACCAGCCAUAUUGCCCUGGGUUACACACAUCUAAACUACCAUACCGAAGUGACUCUACAUAAAUAACUCCAUCACCAUCAAUCAACCUCAAGUAUCCGAAGCCACAAUUCACCGUCUACACCACCGCAUCCACCAGCCUGCAUAUUUCCCAAACAACCAUCCUAUGUGACUCAGUGCCUCUGCCACUCUCCGAACCAUCCCCUAUUGCCCAAAGUGCAAAGUGACGAGUAAUACAUGGACGAUCGUCUUUAAUUAAAGCCGACGCAUGUAGCACACUUUGAUUGGCAUAUAAACGCGCUAAAUUGUACCCAUUCUUCCAAUAAUUAGUGCUUCGCUUCUAGUCUAUGAUACUCGCACCAAUGGACUAACCUCCCUAGCAACUCGAUGGCAUAGUUCCGACUCAGUGCAAUUAUGGUAGGCCAUAUGGUUUCGAGUUUUCACGACUACAUGGCUAUUGGCCGUAGUUCUGACUAGAUCACCAGAACCACUGAUUGUUCCCUGAAUGCUCUACAAUUCAAAGCGCCGCUAACCAGCCCAAAUAAAUGCGCAUCUUCCCAUCAUCCCCCUGGAUUGCCACCCCCAAGCGAAAUGUUGGCCUUUGUUGGAGUAGUUAGUGCUUCGUCUCUAGUCUAUGAUUCUCACGCCAAUGGACUAACCUCCCUAGCAACCUAUGGCAUAGUUCCGACACGGUGCAAUAAUGGGAGGCCAUAUGGUGUUGAGCUUUCACGACUACAUGGCUUAUGGCCGUAGUCCGACUAUACCCCCAGAACCACUAAUUAUUCCCGCAACUCCCAACAUUUCGUACUGCUGCUGAAGACUUGGCCGAAUGAAUGCGCAUCUCUACAUCGUACAUCCGGAUUGCCACCUGAACACGCGGAAUUGUAGCCUUUGUUGGAGUGCUAAGUGCUUCGCCUCUGGUAUUUGAUACUCACUAUGUGGAUUAUGCGCCGCAGGCCGGCUAUGUAAGACUGUCUGCAUUGGAGGAAUUGCGCCGUAGGCCGGCUUGGGACGGAUACUUCAUCGAAAUUCUUCAUCAACACCAACAACACCAUUUUGAAGGAAGGCGAAGGAAGCAUUGAAGCAACUUAUUCAUGGCAAAGGUGAAAGAAGCUUCUUCAUUCAUUCAUAUGCAUUUCUAUGGAUAAUACUCACUGUCUCAUUGUGAACUACUACAACUAAAUGAACGAGCGAGCUAGCUAACGAAUCCACAUACAUAUAUGUGUUGUGAAAAGAAGCUGUAACUGCAAUACUUCCACUUCCACCAAUUGUCAAUGCAUCGACAACAAAUAAUACAUUGGCUGGACUUGACAAGCAACCACGCAGACUACUAGUAGCCAAGGUAAGGCAAGGCAAGGCAAGGCAUUAGAGUUGAAGACUGACCAAUAGCAAUAGCAAUGGCAAUGGCAAUAGAAAUACCAACACUAAUACCAUUUAGUGGGAUCGAUUUGAACGGAUAUUCUAGUGCAUACAUUGAAGUUGCAGCUGAAAUUGGUGGUGAAGUUGAAGUUGAAAUUGAAGAAAGUAUUGAUGAGACAGCAAGGCAAGGCAACGAGAUGACAAAGGCGAAAGGCAAUUGGCAGUGGCCAUCAAUGGAAGAUGUAAGUGAAAAAGUGAUCGAAUUGUUACGUGAAGGAGUAGUUGUAGUAGAAUUGUUAUUGAUGUUGGUGUUGAUGUUGAUGUUGAUAUUGAUGUUGGUGUUAGCUAUCAAUGUAUAUGCAAUUGUAAAGAGCUGAUGAAGUGAGUGAGCGAGUGUUAGAGUUCCGACACGGUGCAAUAAUGGGAGGCCAUAUGGUGUUGAGCUUUCACGACUACAUGGCUUAUGGCCGUAGUCCGACUAUACCCCCAGAACCACUAAUUAUUCCCGCAACUCCCAACAUUUCGUACUGCUGCUGAAGACUUGGAUGAAUGAAUGCGCAUCUCUACAUCGUACAUCCGGAUUGCCACCUGAACACGCGGAAUUGUAGCCUUUGUUGGAGUGCUAAGUGCUUCGCCUCUGGUAUUUGAUACUCACUAUGUGGAUUAUGCGCCGCAGGCCGGCUAUGUAAGACUGUCUGCAUUGGAGGAAUUGCGCCGUAGGCCGGCUUGGGACGGAUACUUCAUCGAAAUUCUUCAUCAACACCAACAACACCAUUUUGAAGGAAGGCGAAGGAAGCAUUGAAGCAACUUAUUCAUGGCAAAGGUGAAAGAAGCUUCUUCAUUCAUUCAUAUGCAUUUCUAUGGAUAAUACUCACUGUCUCAUUGUGAACUACUACAACUAAAUGAACGAGCGAGCUAGCUAACGAAUCCACAUACAUAUAUGUGUUGUGAAAAGAAGCUGUAACUGCAAUACUUCCACUUCCACCAAUUGUCAAUGCAUCGACAACAAAUAAUACAUUGGCUGGACUUGACAAGCAACCACGCAGACUACUAGUAGCCAAGGUAAGGCAAGGCAAGGCAAGGCAUUAGAGUUGAAGACUGACCAAUAGCAAUAGCAAUGGCAAUGGCAAUAGAAAUACCAACACUAAUACCAUUUAGUGGGAUCGAUUUGAACGGAUAUUCUAGUGCAUACAUUGAAGUUGCAGCUGAAAUUGGUGGUGAAGUUGAAGUUGAAAUUGAAGAAAGUAUUGAUGAGACAGCAAGGCAAGGCAACGAGAUGACAAAGGCGAAAGGCAAUUGGCAGUGGCCAUCAAUGGAAGAUGUAAGUGAAAAAGUGAUCGAAUUGUUACGUGAAGGAGUAGUUGUAGUAGAAUUGUUAUUGAUGUUGGUGUUGAUGUUGAUGUUGAUAUUGAUGUUGGUGUUAGCUAUCAAUGUAUAUGCAAUUGUAAAGAGCUGAUGAAGUGAGUGAGCGAGUGUUAGAGUUCCGACACGGUGCAAUAAUGGGAGGCCAUAUGGUGUUGAGCUUUCACGACUACAUGGCUUAUGGCCGUAGUCCGACUAUACCCCCAGAACCACUAAUUAUUCCCGCAACUCCCAACAUUUCGUACUGCUGCUGAAGACUUGGAUGAAUGAAUGCGCAUCUCUACAUCGUACAUCCGGAUUGCCACCUGAACACGCGGAAUUGUAGCCUUUGUUGGAGUGCUAAGUGCUUCGCCUCUGGUAUUUGAUACUCACUAUGUGGAUUAUGCGCCGCAGGCCGGCUAUGUAAGACUGUCUGCAUUGGAGGAAUUGCGCCGUAGGCCGGCUUGGGACGGAUACUUCAUCGAAAUUCUUCAUCAACACCAACAACACCAUUUUGAAGGAAGGCGAAGGAAGCAUUGAAGCAACUUAUUCAUGGCAAAGGUGAAAGAAGCUUCUUCAUUCAUUCAUAUGCAUUUCUAUGGAUAAUACUCACUGUCUCAUUGUGAACUACUACAACUAAAUGAACGAGCGAGCUAGCUAACGAAUCCACAUACAUAUAUGUGUUGUGAAAAGAAGCUGUAACUGCAAU